CCUACGGGUGGCAGCAGUGAGGAAUAUUGGUCAAUGGGCGAGAGCCUGAACCAGCCAAGUCGCGUGAAGGAUGAAGGAUCUAUGGUUUGUAAACUUCUUUUAUAUGGGAAUAAAGUGAGGAACGUGUUCCUUUUUGUAUGUACCAUAUGAAUAAGCAUCGGCUAACUCCGUGCCAGCAGCCGCGGUAAUACGGAGGAUGCGAGCGUUAUCCGGAUUUAUUGGGUUUAAAGGGUGCGUAGGUGGUUCAUUAAGUCAGCGGUGAAAGUUUGUGGCUCAACCAUAAAAUUGCCGUUGAAACUGGUAGACUUGAGUAUAUGUGAGGUAGGCGGAAUGCGUGGUGUAGCGGUGAAAUGCAUAGAUAUCACGAAGAACUCCGAUUGCGAAGGCAGCUUACUAAACUAUAACUGACACUGAGGCACGAAAGCGUGGGGAUCAAACAGGAUUAGAUACCCUGGUAGUC
rnacentral:rRNA from 1 species